GAUGAACGCUGGCGGCGUGCCUAAUACAUGCAAGUCGAGCGAACGGACGAGAAGCUUGCUUCUCUGAUGUUAGCGGCGGACGGGUGAGUAACACGUGGAUAACCUACCUAUAAGACUGGGAUAACUUCGGGAAACCGGAGCUAAUACCGGAUGAUAUUUUGAACCGCAUGGUUCAAAAGUGAAAGACGGUCUUGCUGUCACUUAUAGAUGGAUCCGCGCUGCAUUAGCUAGUUGGUAAGGUAAUGGCUUACCAAGGCAACGAUGCAUAGCCGACCUGAGAGGGUGAUCGGCCACACGGGAACUGAGACACGGUCCAGACUCCUACGGGAGGCAGCAGUAGGGAAUCUUCCGCAAUGGGCGAAAGCCUGACGGAGCAACGCCGCGUGAGUGAUGAAGGUCUUCGGAUCGUAAAACUCUGUUAUUAGGGAAGAACAUAUGUGUAAGUAACUGUGCACAUCUUGACGGUACCUAAUCAGAAAGCCACGGCUAACUACGUG
rnacentral:rRNA from 1 species